AGAGAAAAUGCAGACGACAUUACACAGAGAGAAACAAUAAUUGAUUAAUAAUUAUAAAAAAAAAAGAUGUUAUAGUUGUAUACAUGAAAAGCAAUAAAAUCCAAAAAAAAACCUUUAUCAAUCUACUCCUUUAUUCCUACCCACCGCUGUUCUCCUCAGGCGGUGAUUCCUUGUGUCGUUUUUCUUCUUCUUCUACUACUACUAUCUAGACAGUACAGUAGCAGCACUCUCUGUUUCUGUUUCUGCUUAUUUGAAAUAUAAAUUGAAAUUAAAACAUAAAACUAACCGAAAGAGGAGAUGAGAUGAAAAGAGGUGGCGAAAACGUGUUUUUACCUCGCCGACUCCGUCAUCCGCUAGUUCUACACCUGGCAACUUCCGCCGCGUGAUAACAGAGAGCGGCGACGAAACCGAUGCGGUGAGAAUAGGACAAAACGGAGAAGGAUUUGGGCGGGUCUUAGUAACAAAGUCGUCGCCCUCGCGGUCCCUUUCUCUCUCUCUCUACCUAUUUUCUCAGUUUAAAAAUUUGAAAUCCAUCGUCACUCUCUUAUUCUAUUCGGUAGUGGAAUUGUGAUUUAUUUUUUUAUGUACUUUAGUAUUUUUUACUGCCACGUGUUAUCACAGAUUUACCAGAAUACCGAGUUCAAAUGAUUUCAUCGACGGACAUAGAUCGAUCCAACACGUGGCAAGGAAUACAGUCAAAUGCAAUUAAGGAAUGAGAUCUGCACAGAUUUUCAUUUUACCCGAUUACGACGUUUUUAUUUUCUGAAGGUAAUUUUAACUUCUUCUUUUUUUGAGGUAAAAACUAAUUCUAAACGAAACUAAAAGUAAAUUCUAUAUAAAUAAAGGGUAAAAAGAACCUG
rnacentral:lncRNA from 1 species